CCUACGGGUGGCAGCAGUGAGGAAUAUUGGUCAAUGGACGAGAGUCUGAACCAGCCAAGUAGCGUGAAGGAUGACUGCCCUAUGGGUUGUAAACCUCUUUUAUAAAGGAAUAAAACGAGGCACGUGUGCCUUUUUGCAUGUACUUUAUGAAUAAGGAUCGGCUAACUCCGUGCCAGCAGCCGCGGUAAUACGGGGGAUCCGAGCGUUAUCCGGAUUUAUUGGGUUUAAAGGGAGCGUAGAUGGGUUGUUAAGUCAGCGGUAAAAAUUCGGGGCUCAACCCCGGCCGGCCGUUGAAACUGGGGGGCUUGAGUGGGCGAGAAGAAGGCGGAAUGCGUGGUGUAGCGGUGAAAUGCAUAGAUAUCACGCAGAACCCCGAGUGCGAAGGCAGCCUUCCGGCGCCCUACUGACGCUGAGGCACGAAAGUGCGGGGAUCGAACAGGAUUAGAUACCCUAGUAGUC
rnacentral:rRNA from 1 species